rnacentral:rRNA from 1 species
GGUUAAGUGACUAAGCGUACAUGGUGGAUGCCUUGGCAGUCAGAGGCGAUGAAGGACGUACUAACCUGCGAUAAGCCGUGAGCAGUCGGUAAGAGACAUUACGACUCACGGAUUUCCGAAUGGGGAAACCCACUUAGCAUAAGCUAGGUAUCGCUGCGUGAAUACAUAGCGCAGCGAGGCGAACCGGGAGAACUGAAACAUCUAAGUACCCCGAGGAAAAGAAAUCAACCGAGAUUCCCUCAGUAGCGGCGAGCGAACGGGGAUUAGCCCUUAAGCAUCUUGGAAGUUAGUGGAACGGUCCUGGAAAGGCCGGCGAUACAGGGUGAUAGCCCCGUACACGAAAACAACCUUGAUGUGAAAUCGAGUAGGGCGGGACACGUGACAUCCUGUCUGAAUAUGGGGGGACCAUCCUCCAAGGCUAAAUACUCCUGACUGACCGAUAGUGAACCAGUACCGUGAGGGAAAGGCGAAAAGAACCCCUGUGAGGGGAGUGAAAUAGAACCUGAAACCGUGUACGUACAAGCAGUGGGAGCCCUUCGGGGUGACUGCGUACCUUUUGUAUAAUGGGUCAGCGACUUACAUUUUGUAGCGAGGUUAACCGUAUAGGGGAGCCGUAGGGAAACCGAGUCUUAACUGGGCGUCUAGUUGCAAGGUGUAGACCCGAAACCGGGUGAUCUAGCCAUGGGCAGGUUGAAGGUUGAGUAACAUCAACUGGAGGACCGAACCCACUAACGUUGCAAAGUUAGGGGAUGACCUGUGGCUGGGGGUGAAAGGCCAAUCAAACUCGGAGAUAGCUGGUUCUCCCCGAAAGCUAUUUAGGUAGCGCCUCGGACGAAUACUACUGGGGGUAGAGCACUGUUUGGGCUAGGGGGUCAUCCCGACUUACCAACCCCAUGCAAACUCCGAAUACCAGUAAGUAAUAUCCGGGAGACACACGGCGGGUGCUAACGUCCGUCGUGAAGAGGGAAACAACCCAGACCGCCGGCUAAGGUCCCAAAGUUCUGGUUAAGUGGGAAACGAUGUGGGAAGGCUCAGACAGCUAGGAUGUUGGCUUAGAAGCAGCCAUCAUUUAAAGAAAGCGUAAUAGCUCACUAGUCGAGUCGGCCUGCGCGGAAGAUGUAACGGGGCUCAAACCAGGCACCGAAGCCGCGGAUUCACACUAAGUGUGAGUGGUAGGGGAGCGUUCUGUAAGUCUGCGAAGGUGUGUCGAGAGGCAUGCUGGAGAUAUCAGAAGUGCGAAUGCUGACGUAAGUAACGAUAAAGGGGGUGAAAAGCCUCCUCGCCGGAAGACCAAGGGUUCCUGUCCAACGUUAAUCGGGGCAGGGUGAGUCGACCCCUAAGGUGAGGCCGAAAGGCGUAAUCGAUGGGAAGCAGGUUAAUAUUCCUGCACGACUUGUAAUUGCGAUGGGGGGACGGAGAAGGCUAGGUGGGCCAGGCGACGGUUGUCCUGGUGAAAGUGCGUAGGUGGUGUUUCUAGGCAAAUCCGGAGACACAACACUGAGACACGAGACGAACGCACCACGGUGCGGAAGCCAUUGAUGCCCUGCUUCCAGGAAAAGCCUCUAAGCUUCAGAUUACAAGUCAUCGUACCCCAAACCGACACAGGUGGUCGGGUAGAGAAUACCAAGGCGCUUGAGAGAACUCGGGUGAAGGAACUAGGCAAAAUAGAACCGUAACUUCGGGAGAAGGUUCGCUCUUGAUGGUGAAGUCCCUUGCGGAUGGAGCUGUCGGGAGUCGCAGUGACCAGAUGGCUGGGACUGUUUAUCAAAAACACAGCACUCUGCAAACACGAAAGUGGACGUAUAGGGUGUGACACCUGCCCGGUGCCGGAAGGUUAAUUGAUGGGGUU